GAUGAAGAACGCAGCAAAAUGCGAUAAGUAAUGUGAAUUGCAGAAUUCAGUGAAUCAUCGAAUCUUUGAACGCACAUUGCGCCCGCUGGUAUUCCGGCGGGCAUGCCUGUUCGAGCGUCAUUUCAACCCUCAAGCCCCCGGGUUUGGUGUUGGGGAUCGGCUCUGCCCUUCUGGGCGGUGCCGCCCCCGAAAUACAUUGGCGGUCUCGCUGCAGCCUCCAUUGCGUAGUAGCUAACACCUCGCAACUGGAACGCGGCGCGGCCAUGCCGUAAAACCCCAACUUCUGAAUGUUGACCUCGGAUCAGGUAGGAAUACCCGCUGAACUUAAGCAUGUCAAUAAGCGGAGGA
rnacentral:misc_RNA from 1 species